UGGGGAAUAUUGCGCAAUGGGGGAAACCCUGACGCAGCGACGCCGCGUGAGCGAAGAAGGCCUUAGGGUUGUAAAGCUCUGUUUUAGGGGACGAAUGUCGUAGUCAGUAAUAUGGACUACGAAUGACGGUACCUUAAGAGGAAGCCCCGGCUAACUACGUGCCAGCAGCCGCGGUAAGACGUAGGGGGCGAGCGUUGUCCGGAAUUACUGGGCGUAAAGAGCACGUAGGCGGGAACUUAAGUCAGGUGUGAAAGACCGUGGCUCAACCACGGGGUGGCAUUUGAAACUGGGUUUCUUGAGGGCAGGAGAGGAAAGCAGAAUUCCUGGUGUAGCGGUGAAAUGCGUAGAAAUCAGGAGGAAUACCAGUGGCGAAGGCGGCUUUCUGGACUGACCCUGACGCUGAGGUGCGAAAGCGUGGGUAGCAAACA
rnacentral:rRNA from 1 species